UUAUAUUUUUUAUGUUGUCAUUUUUGUUGUCUUUUUCCCAGUUUUUCCAGUUGAUGUUCUCAUUUGGAUUUCCCUCUUCAGAGUUUGUUAUUGUGGUAUUUGUUCAAUCACUGAUGCUGUGCUGUAUACCACUUUUAUCUCUUCUGCAAGCAAGAUUUGAAUGUCUUCAGCGCAGAUGGAUAACAAUAUUGUGGAUAAUAAUAGUAACACUCCU